rnacentral:rRNA from 1 species
GACGAACGCUGGCGGCGUGCUUAACACAUGCAAGUCGAGCGGUAAGGCUCCUUCGGGAGUACACGAGCGGCGAACGGGUGAGUAACACGUGAGCAAUCUGCCCUUCACUUUGGGAUAACUCCGGGAAACCGGUGCUAAUACCGAAUGCGACCACUUCAGGCAUCUGACGGUGGUGGAAAGUUCCGGCGGUGAAGGAUGAGCUCGCGGCCUAUCAGCUUGUUGGUGAGGUAAUGGCUCACCAAGGCUUCGACGGGUAGCCGGCCUGAGAGGGUGACCGGCCACACUGGGACUGAGACACGGCCCAGACUCCUACGGGAGGCAGCAGUGGGGAAUAUUGGACAAUGGGCGAAAGCCUGAUCCAGCAACGCCGCGUGAGGGAUGACGGCCUCGGUUGUAACGUACUUACUACGCAGGACGAAGACGAAGUAGACGGUACGU